AUACAAUCUUAAAAAAGGAAAUCGAAGAGAACACUAAAAACGGCUAGAGAAAGAAAUAGAUAGAAAAGAAUGACAACAUUGGUGAGCUGGAUCCAGACAGGCAGUUGGAGCUUAAAGCCCAGCAGAAAAAAGAAGAGGAUGAGAAGGAGGAGGGCAGGAAGAAGGCUGUUCUCUUUGGAACUAGUGAUCUGUGUGAUUCUAUUUUGGCCAUGGAAGAAAAACAAACCACCAAACCAUUUGCACGAACCAUGACCCAGAUGUGCUGAAAAGAUUAAUUAGAACAUUAUUUUCAUAGAGUGUAUGUGUGUGGAGUGGUUCAAACCCAGGCAGACUCCAGGCAGCACUAGACUGUAGCAACCGCCCUGCAGACUACAAGAAACAAGCACAUGGGAGCAACCAGUUGCAUCAAGAGCCUUCUUUGCCAUUCAUACCCUUCUGUUCCCCCCUCAUGUCCCCCCUCCUGUUCACAACUUUUCCAGAAAAGAAGAGAUUAAACUCUAAAGAUGCAUUUGUACAUGUAGCAUUUUUUAUUCCUACGUAUUUUGGUAUGCAUCUUUCUCCUCGUCAAAACCUGGACAAGUGCUGUUAGUACAGACCACAUACACCUCAAGGAACUGACAGACCACACAUUCAGCAGUAAGAGUAUGUGCUACUUCCUAUUUUUACUAAUUGUGUUCUUUAUGUUAAGAGACGAUAACCAGCCUCAGCGGGAAACAACUUUGACAGAAUUACUUUGUAACCUGAAUGCUUUGAACACUAUCUGCUGCAACUUCCUUUAUGUCACAGAAAAUGUUCUUAUACCGCUAUCAAACUUUCCAUGGAAGCUAUCCAAAAGACUGAAGAAAUAACAUGCACACAGAACUUCCCCACCAAAAUCAUCAAUACAAGCUGAGCUCCUGCUACUCCAUAUACCAUAUUCAUCUCAUCUCCUCCCUUUGGCCAUUGAAAUUCUUUUAACUCUUUCUUGCCUAAUAUUGAAGGGCCAAAACAGAAUUGUGACAGCACCCUCCCACCCAUCUGCCCAUACUGUGGUUUAUGUCCCCUCACUUAA